ACAAAUAAACACUGUUGCAGUUAUAGAUGUUAAACUCUCAACACCUUUGGUGUAGAUAUGAUACAAAAGCCAGUGAUAAUUUGCAGAGUUCUGAUCAAUGAACACCAAUUGGGUGUAACGAGUUCCAUCCGGGAUAUUUUGCACAUCGCUCAAACUUCCAGCGCAGUCCGCCAAAACUGAAACCCCCGGCAGGAUAGCAGACUUAUCUCCAAGGGGUGGACAAUUUUGUGUGAUGUAACAUCAAGUAAAGUGGAUGCGAUGAUUAUCAAGGUAAAAUACCAGAACAUAAAAAAAUACGUCAAGAUAUGUGAGCCAUGCUUGGAUAUGUUCAUGACUGAAGUCCGGGUGAAGUUCU